rnacentral:pre_miRNA from 1 species
CGGGGCUCUCCUAGGUCUGGGCUCUGGCAAAAUUGGGGAGCCAGAGCGGGAGGAGCCUCAUC